rnacentral:piRNA from 1 species
UGAUCAGAUGUGGGCCGGGUGUGUGC